rnacentral:rRNA from 1 species
AGGUAGCGAAAUUCCUUGUCGGGUAAGUUCCGACCCGCACGAAUGGUGUAACGAUUUGGGUACUGUCUCAACAAGGGACCCGGCGAAAUUGUAGUAUGUGUGAAGAUGCACAUUACCCGCGAUAGGACGGAAAGACCCCGUAGAGCUUUACUGUAGUUUAACAUUGGAUUCCGGUAACAUAUGCACAGGAUAGGUGGGAGGCGGAGAAGCAGUGAUUUCGGUUGCUGCAGAGCCGACGUUGGGAUACCACUCUUGUGUUACUGGGGUUCUAACCUGUGGCCGUGAUCCGGCACAGGAACAGUGUUAGAUGGGCAGUUUGACUGGGGCGGUCGCCUCCAAAAGAGUAACGGAGGCGUCCAAAGGUUCCCUCAGAAUGGUUGGAAACCAUUCGAAGAGUACAAAGGCAGAAGGGAGCCUGACUGCGAGACCGACAGGUCGAGCAGGGACGAAAGUCGGGCUUAGUGAUCCGGCGGUAUAGAGUGGAAUUGCCGUCGCUCAACGGAUAAAAGCUACCUCGGGGAUAACAGGCUUAUCUCCCCCAAGAGUCCACAUCGACGGGGAGGUUUGGCACCUCGAUGUCGGCUCAUCGCAUCCUGGGGCUGUAUUCGGUCCCAAGGGUUUGGCUGUUCGCCAAUUAAAGCGGCACGCGAGCUGGGUUCAGAACGUCGUGAGACAGUUCGGUCCCUAUCCAUCGUGGGCGCAGGAGAUUUGAGAGGAGCUGUCCUUAGUACGAGAGGACCGGGAUGGACGCACCAAGGGUGAAUCAGUUGUCGUGCCAACGGCACAGCUGGGUAGCCAAGUGCGGAUCGGAUAAACGCUGAAGGCAUCUAAGCGUGAAGCCGACUUCAAGAUAAGAUCUCCCAUCCGCAAGGAGUAAGGCCCCAUGUAGACCACAUGGUUGAUAGGUCGCAGGUGGAAGUGCAGUAAUGUACGCAGCUGAGCGAUACUAAUAGGCCGAGGGCUUGAUCAA